rnacentral:lncRNA from 1 species
CGAAAAACCACAAUUCUCCCCCAAUCAGCACCUAAAAGAACAAGACUAUCAAAAUCUCCUCCACAUGCAUUGUCAGGACAUGUUGUCCUCUACCUCCUUCUCUUCCCCUCUUUCUUAUCCCAAAGACGUUAUCGUUAAAAUCAACGGCCAAGAUUCCUCAAAGAACCCACUAAAAUUAGCGAGAAUAAUUUUUGUUUUCUAUUGGUCUCAACUCUUCAGCUCCUAUUGCUGCUUUUGGAUUUGGAGAUUGAAACUCUUGUGGCAUCACUAGUGCUACAGGCAUAAGCAAAGUGAGAAGGUAUAGUAUACGAUGCGUUUGAUGAACCAUUCAUAAACGAAUUUACACAAAUAGCAUUAGUUAGGCUUCACUUUAGUCCUUUACUUGAAUAGCAUCAAUUAUGCCUUUUCUUUAUUUGUUUUACAUCAAAAUUCAAAAUUAUUUUGUUAUUUCACAAUUUGUUUUAAAUAGAGGCACAAAAUCAAAGAAAAUGAUUGGGAACAAACAUAAAUACAUUAGGUUAAUAUCAAUUUUGAUAUCAAUUUCUUUGAUUCGUCAAUUUCAAUAUAAAAUUUAAUAGUAUGGAUUGGGGUUUUUAGUCAUGUCAUUUUACUUAUUGAUAUCUAGGAAAUAGAUAAAUAUUUUAAUAAAUAGACAAGGAGGAUUAUAUUCACACCAAUUUUUAUUUUUCUAAAUACACCACAUAUUAGUUAUUUAUAUUUAGCCCUUAAAGAAUUCCCCACAUUUGGAUAAAAUUCAUUGUGUUUAAUGUCAUUUGUUAUUUGCAAAGAUGUCGGGCCCAAAUAGUGCUAGAAGUAUUGGAUUAGGACCAAUACGCGAGGAAGAUAGCACGAUUAGUAUACCGGUGAGCAAUGUGCCACAAGAAGAUCUAGUUAAACUGUUACCAAAUGGGAAUGAAAGGCCAAUAAACCUAAGUAACGAGGAGCUUAAUAUUGGAGAACUAUCUUUCGGAAAAAGGAAAUUGACUUAAGCUCUUUGGUAGCACUACAAAGGACAAAAAAAUUGGUAAGAAAUGGAGGGCUUUAUGUACUCAUUGCAAGAAAUAGUUAGGGAGUGACAAAAAAAUGGUACAAAGCAUUUGUAUGAUCAUUUGAAGAGAUUUGGAUUCCGUCAUCAGGAUAAUACUUGCCAAGCAACAUUAAAUUUCAAAAAGGAUGCCGCGAGUGGCGAGGUCAUAAUGGGUACUUACUCUUUCGAUCCAGAUAAGUGUAGGUAUAGUCUAGCAACAAUGGUGAUUUUGCAUGAGUAUUCUUUGUCUAUGGUUGAUCACAUUGGAUUUCAAGAGCUUUUGCACGACCAACAACCAUUGUUUAAGGUUCCUUUUCGCAACACUUUGAAGAGCGAAAAUUUGAAAAUCUAUGAAUACGAGAGAGCAAAAAAUAUAAUUGAACUUGAGAAGAUUGAGAGUCGAAUUUCAAUCACAAUCGACAUGUGGACCUCUUCUAACCAUAAGAAAUGAUUCAUGGUUAUCACUACUCAUUUCAUAGAUGAUGCUUGGAAACUAUAGAAUCGAAUCAUGAGGUACAGUAAAAAAUUACAUUCCCUUUUUUUCAUAAUUUACAAAAAUUAUAUUCUUAUAGUUGAUUUAAUUUGUUCUUGAAUGAAUUCAUGUUUAUAUAUGUUUCGUGCUCAUACUAUUGACGUCCUUUCAGAAACUCUAUUGUGUAACUUACUGGAUUAAAAUAUUGAUUGUAAGUUACUAACUUUGACCAUAGAUAAUUGCACCACAAAUGAUGCUAUGAUCAAUAUUGUGUUAAGUCAGCUUUGUACUUGUUCUUGUAUUGAAUGGUGAUUUUUUCUAUUUGAGGUGUUGUGCACACAUAUUAAAUCUUAUUGUGAAUGAUGGGUUGAAGAUUAUUAGUGGUAGUGUUGAAAAAAUCCAUGUAGUGUUGCUUAUUGGACAGCCACACCAAAGAGGUUUGAAAUUUUGAGUUCUUUGCACGUCAAUUGAAAAUUGAUUGUUAGAAAAAUUGGGGCUUGAUUAUAAAACAAUGUGAAAUUCUAUAUAUUUGAUGCUUCGUACUGCUUUGAUUUAUAAGGGUGUUUUUCCUCGUUUGAAACAGAGGGAGUCACAUUCUAAAUGUUUACCUAGUGAUGGUGAUUAGGAUUUGGCAAAAGAAAUAUGUGAGAAUUUAAAGGUCUUUUUCUAGGUUAUUAAAUUGUUUUCAGGAACAAAGUAUCCAAUUGCUAAUCUCUUAUUUGCAAAUAUUUGUGAUAGCAAAUUGUCGUUGUAUGAGUGAGUUGAAUCUCCUUAUGUGGAAGUUCAAAUGAUGAUGACCAGUAUGAUGAAAAAGUUUAACAAGUAUUGAAGCAAUAUUCAUGGAGUUUUGGCUUUAGCAGCAGUGUUGGAUCUAAUGUAUAAGAUGAUGUUAGUUAAAUAUUAUUAUCCUCGAUAUUGAAAAAAUUUAUCAAGUUUGUGGCAAGUUGGUGCACAAUUAUUAGAAAAAGAAUGAUUCAAGUACAUCUAAGCUCGGUCUUCUACUUCUUCUUGUCAAACCGAGACGUCAAGUGCUAACAAUAAAUUAGAUUGCAUGGUGGGUUUUUAUAGAUUUGUUCCCAAUGUUAGAGCUCCUAGCAAUGUGAAAACUGAGCUUGAUACUGUCUUGGAUGAGCCUAUAUUGCCUUGGUCGGAUGAUUUGAUAUAUUGACAUGGUGGAAAGUAAAUGCAAUCAAAUAUCUGACUUUAUAUCAAAUUGCAAAAGAUAUUUUGACUAUCCCAGUAUCUACCGAGGUGCUCGAAUCUGCCUUCAAUGCUAAUAGUAGAUUUGUUAGUCCACACAAAAAUAGGCUUCACCCUAAAAUUUUGGAGGUUUUAAUGUGUACUCUCAAGAUUGGUUAUAGGCCAAUAUCCACGGUAUGAUGUAUAUAAACAUUUGCUUUUCAUAUUGUUCCUUUAUGAAUUCUUUUAUUACUAAUUAUUUUACUUUAGUAAUAACGAAUUCUGC